UACGUAGGGUGCGAGCGUUGUCCGGAAUUAUUGGGCGUAAAGGGCUCGUAGGCGGUUUGUCGCGUCGGGAGUGAAAUCCACUGGCUUAACUGGUGGCUUGCUUUCGAUACGGGCAGACUGGAGGUAUGCAGGGGAGAACGGAAUUCCUGGUGUAGCGGUGAAAUGCGCAGAUAUCAGGAGGAACACCGGUGGCGAAGGCGGUUCUCUGGGCCUGUACUGGCGCUGAGGAGCGAAAGCGUGGGGAGCGAACAGG
rnacentral:rRNA from 1 species